rnacentral:tRNA from 1 species
GGUAGAAUGGCCGAGUGUUUAGGUGGUGGGCUGUAGUCCCAUUUACAUGGGUUUAAAUCCUGUUUCUAUCA